rnacentral:lncRNA from 1 species
CAGUUAACCUAAGGCUCUUCAUUUGUAAAAUGGCGACUACCUGUCUUUACUUCCCAGUGCUGUUCUGAAGAUCAAAGAGAAAAAAGGACCUACAAGCAAUGAUAUUCCAGUAGCAAUGUCAACUGAGAAUCAUUCUUGAAAGAUAGUUUUGCUGCCAGUUCUGGGAAAGCCUCAUCAUAUGGGUGGGAAAGGAUUGGGUGCCCUGGGCCAAGAUUGUUUCAGGAAGAUUAGCCCUGAGCUAACAUCUGCUGCCAAUCCUCCUCUUUUUGCUGAGGAAGACUGGCCCUGAGCUAACAUCUGUGUUCAUCUGCCUCUGCUUUAUACGUGGGACGCCUACCACAGCAUGACUUGCCAAGCUGUGCCAUGUCCGCACCUGGGAUCCGAACCAGCGAACCCCAGGCCACUGAAGUGAAACGUGUGAACCUAACUGCUGCACCACCGGGCCGGCCUCUCAUAUUUUUAUUAUGUCCCUCCUUCUGUUUGCUUUGGGUUUAUAUUUCCUUUCUUUUUCUAAUUUCUUAAGGUGAAUACCUAUUAGGUCGUUGACUUGAGACCAUUGUUAUUCAUAUAAACAUAUUUUGUUUAAGUGAACACAACCCCAAGAUUUUAUUGCUGUUAUAAUAAAACAAAAGAUGAAGCUCAGAACUGGAUCAUUUGGCCCUUUCUCUUAUCUCUUCCCAGUUCAGAAUGC